GAGCGGAACCUUCNGUGUGAGCGGCGGACGGGUGAGUACACCUGGGCAAUCUGCCUGUCAGACCGGAAUAACGCCUGGAAACGGGUGCUAAUGCNCGGAUACUCAAACCUAGGGCAUCCUAGGGUUGGGAAAGAUGCUACGGCAUCACUGACAGAGGAGCCCGCGGCGCAUUAGCUAGUUGGGGAGGUAACGGCUCACCAAGGCGACGAUGCGUAGCCGACCUGAGAGGGUGACCGGCCACACUGGGACUGAGACACGGCCCAGACUCCUACGGGAGGCAGCAGUAGGGAAUCUUCCGCAAUGGGCGCAAGCCUGACGGAGCAACGCCGCGUGAGCGAAGAAGGCCUUCGGGUUGUAAAGCUCAGUCAACUGGGAAGAGCGAGCAAGGGAGGGAAUGCCCUUGCUGAGACGGUACCAGAAGAGGAAGCCCCGGCUAACUACGUGCCAGCAGCCGCGGUAAU
rnacentral:rRNA from 1 species